rnacentral:rRNA from 1 species
AACCCUAAAGCUAGCCUUCCUAUCUCCUCCAAUAAUAAAAAUAGUAAUACCCCUAAAAGCACAACCUUUUACAGCCCAAACCAUUUUUCCCCCUUAGUACGGGAGACAGAAAAGGAAACAUAGAGCAAUAGAAAUAGUACCGCAAGGGAAAGCUGAAAGAGAAAUGAAAUAAACCAUUAAAGUGACAAAAAGCAGAGCUCUCCUCUCGUACCUUUUGUAUCAUGAUUUAGCCAGUCAAAUUCAAGCAAAGAGCCCUUCAGUUUGCAUCCCCGAAACUAGACGAGCUACUCCAAGACAGCCUAUUUAAUAGGGCAAACCCGUCUCUGUGGCAAAAGAGUGGGAAGAGCUUUGAGUAGAGGUGAUAAACCUACCGAGCCUAGUUAUAGCUGGUUGCCUGGGAAAUGGAUAGAAGUUCAGCCUUCAGGAUUCUUCCGUCUAAACGAAACACAUCUUUCCGACCUAGUAGAAGCCAGAAGAGUUAGUCAAAGGGGGUACAGCCCCUCUGAUAAAGGACACAACCUUCUUAAGGAGGAUAAAGAUCAAUUUACAUAAAGAUAUACAUUAAGGUGGGCCUAAGAGCAGCCAUCCUUGCAGAAAGCGUUAAAGCUCAAAUGUAAAACUAUCUACUUAUACCGAUAACUUAAACUUAUUCCCCUAAUUCCACCAGACCUCUCCAUGCAAACAUGGAAAAGAUAAUGCUAAUAUGAGUAAUAAGAAAGGUUAUCCCCUUUCUCCUAACACAAGUGUAUAUCGGACCGAACUUUUCACCGAACAUUAACGGCCCCAAAAUCAGAGGGUAUUAAAAUAAAUAUAGACAACUAGAAAAGCUUUAAACCAAAAGCCGUUGCCCCUACACUGGAGUGUUUUAAAGGAAAGACUAAAAGGGAGAGAAGGAACUCGGCAAACAUACCCAUUAGCCCCGCCUGUUUACCAAAAACAUCGCCUCUUGCAACAAGUAAUAUAAGAGGUCCCGCCUGCCCUGUGACUCUAGUAGUUUAACGGCUGCGGUAUUUUGACCGUGCAAAGGUAGCGCAAUCACUUGUCUUUUAAAUAAAGACCUGUAUGAAUGGCAUGACGAGGGCUUAACUGUCUCCUUUCCCCAGUCAAUGAAAUUGAUCUCCCCGUGAAGAAGCGGGGAUACAACUAUAAGACGAGAAGACCCUGUGGAGCUUUAAACACUAGAGAAGCCCAUGUCAAGCACUCCAAAAUACUAAGAGUGAAACAAAAUGGACCCUCCACUAAUGUUUUUGGUUGGGGCGACCGCGGGGAAAUAAAAAACCCCCAUGUGGAGUGGGAAUACCCUUCCUACAACUCAGAGCAACCGCUCUAAUUAACGGAAUAUCCGACCAACAAUGAUCCGGCCAAGCCGAUCAACGGACCGAGUUACCCCAGGGAUAACAGCGCAAUCCCCUUUUAGAGACCUUAUCGCCAAGGGGGUUUACGACCUCGAUGUUGGAUCAGGACAUCCUAAUGGUGUAGCCGCUAUUAAGGGUUCGUUUGUUCAACGAUUAAAGUCCUACGUGAUCUGAGUUCAGACCGGAGUAAUCCAGGUCAGUUUCUAUCUAUAACAUGCUUUUUUCUAGUACGCAAGGACCGAGAAAAGAGGGCCCCUACUUAAGGUAUGCCCUUCCUUCAUCUAGUGAAAACAACUAAACUAGAUAAGAAGGCAUCACCCAAAUGCCUUAGAUACAAGGCUU